rnacentral:rRNA from 1 species
AUUUUAAGAAAGAUUAAAAGAAUAANAAGGAACUCGGCAAAAUCUAACCCCGCCUGUUUACCAAAAACAUCGCCUCUUGGAACCCAUAAGAGGUCCAGCCUGCCCAGUGACCCUGUUCAACGGCCGCGGUAUCCUAACCGUGCGAAGGUAGCGUAAUCACUUGUUCUUUAAAUGAGGACUAGUAUGAAUGGCACCACGAAGGUUAUACUGUCUCCUUCCUCUAAUCAGUGAAACUAAUCUCCCCGUGAAGAAGCGGGGAUAAGCCUAUAAGACGAGAAGACCCUGUGGAGCUUUAAACACAGUAAUAAAUGCCCCCCCCCCUUUUUUUCUAUUCAAAUCUCCGGAAAACUACUUUAUCUGAGCAUCCUAUUUACAAGUUUUAGGUUGGGGUGACCGCGGAGUAAAAAAUAACCUCCACAGUGAAUGGAAUCUUUUUCCUAAACUCAGGGCCACAACCCUAAAAAUCAAUAAAUUGACACCCAUUGACCCAAUAUUUUGAUCAAUGAACCAAGUUACCCUAGGGAUAACAGCGCAAUCCACUUCAAGAGCUCCUAUCGACAAGUGGGUUUACGACCUCGAUGUUGGAUCAGGGUACCCCAGUGGUGCAGCCGCUGCUAAAGGUUCGUUUGUUCAACGAUUAAAACCCUACGUGAUCUGAGUUCAGACCGGAGUAAUCCAGGUCAGUUUCUAUCUAUAAAGAGUUUCUUCUAGUACGAAAGGACCGAAAAAACAUGGCCAAUGCCACCUGUAAGCCAUACAACCUAUUUAUGACACAGCCUCAAUAAAAAAUAUGUCUCUAAAACAGCUUAAGAAAAGAGCA